rfam:Ictidomys tridecemlineatus contig047083, whole genome shotgun sequence.
GGGGUUGUAGCUCAGUGGUAUAGAGUGCUUGCCUCACAUGUGUGAGUCACUGGGUUCAAUUCUCAGCACCA